CCAUAGAGUGCUGACAUUGGGCGUGACCUUAUUGGCCCUAGUAUGUGCCAUGGCUUCUCUUCCUGACAAUCUCAACCUCCCAUCACUAUCCAUCAAUGUCCAGGUUCUAAAUGUUAAUUGGUUUCAAAAGCAGCCUACUGGAAAUGACGAGAGUGUGGCUCAAAUCCAGACAUUGCUUAUCGUUGACAGACUUAUUUCACCUAUCUGUGAAUCCAUGUCCUUAAGGAUAGAAAUACUCCAAUCUGAUAUGGCUAGAUUUCUUUAUAGAGCGAAGUGGGUCUCUUGGAAUUGCUCUUGUUAUUUGCUACCAAAUUUAAAUAUAAUAGUGGCUAAACUUGCAAAUGUAUUGCUAUUGAUUAUAGUUUUUUUUUUUUUAAUUGAUUUCUCUGUUAAUAAUGUCUUCCACCUGUUUGUCUGUAUGUCCAUGAAGGGUUAUGAUCUAUUUUCUUAAGGACUUUCUGGAUUACCUUUUAGCUUCUUCUUCAUACAAAUCAGCUUGCUAUUGAAUAUUUCAGCUGACUUCCAGUCAAUGUUAACAUGAAAUAUAUAGGAAGUUUGUCAGUUAACUAUCUAUAUGCUUCAUUUCCAUGGUCAUGUUUGUCCUCGGGUAUUCAUGUGUCAGUGUAUUGUGUCCUCAUGUUGUAGGGCUAAUUAACUAACUAGUCAAUAGUGUUUGCUAUCAAAUCAUCAUGAAAAUACUUGGUUUCAAUCAACAGAUAAAUUUGAGUUUUACUUGCUCUGCGAUACAAAAAUAGCUUGGAUUGUCAUGUAAUAUGGUCUGAGGAGUUAAGAAAGUAGCAAUUUCUCACGUUAGGCUUUUGCAUGUGAUUUUCAAUUAUUUCCACUCUUUUAAUCUCCAGAUUUACUGCUAUUAUAUAUUUCCUCACAUGGUUUCUUUUAGUUGGCUGUAUACUUAUUUGACCCACCUUGUGUUUGAAAAUUGAUUCUUGUUGGAUACUCUUACAUCAACUUUUCCUUUAGUUCGAGGGAAUACUAUAAUUUAUGUGCUUGAUGUAUAAUAUACCUAAUUAGUUAUUAAUUCUUAGAACUAAUUACAUGUGUCAAUCUUCUAUGAUUUUGCAUUUUAAUAAGAAAAAUCAAGUUAUUUAAGUUUUCUUUUUUAUUUUAUGUCAUCAAAGUUUCAUAGGAGUCAAACAUUAUAUUCUGUUUCCUUGUAAUACACUAUCUUCGACUAUCUGCUUGUUCCAUCUCCACCAGGAAAGAAUUAUAGCUAUGAUGUCAGUAUUGUCUAGAGAAGUUGCCCCAGAUUCUGAUCUCUUCAAAGUUUUCAGCAUUAGUCAUGCUUCUACUGGAUCGCGCAAGACAAACUCUUAAUAGGCUCUAUGAAACCAUUGAUAUGUAUUUGGAGGUCAGUGUGAAGAAGAAAAAGUUAUUUCAGUUAUCAAAGCUCUGAAUAUGAAAGACAAAAGUUUUCUUCAUUGGGCUGCAGAAAGUUUCUUUCACAAUAUCCUUUUGGGGAAUUUGGUCCAAUGUCCUUCUUUCAAGGCCUCUAAUGAAAUAUACCCCUCAUUUCUUAGUUUUUUUUUAUCUGCCCACUGCUUCCCAUUUUAUCCCCAAUGAAAGUAAAAAAUUACUUUACUUUCCUUUCUUCAUUCCUUCAGUCCGAGAAACCCACAGUCUUUAGUUUCUGCACUCGGCUUUUCUAUUUUUCUUCAUUCCCCAGAAAACCCACACACAAUCUCAUUAAGAAAAAAAAAAAAAAAUCCAUGCUCCAUCUCCUUGCAUCUCUUACCUCUUCUCUUGCAAACAUAUGAAAGACUAAGGAAAAAUUGCGUUUGAGUGAAAAGAAGAGAUCUGGCUGGGGAUUUUAUUAGCAGCUAAAACUGUUAGUUAAAAAAAAAAAAAAAUGGCAGAUGAUAUUUUAACAAAUUUGGCAAACGGAUUCAACUCUGUUGAAAAAUUUGAAAUCCCAACUCUUCAGGGGAGUGAUAGCCAAAAUCCCGAUCACCAAAUCGAGAUUGGCGAUGAUCCUUCGAGACAAGGGCCUCUACUUAGAAGCAGAAAAAAAAACAAAGAAGAAGAAAAGUCUUUGUAUAAGCCAAAAGUGGAAACCAGCAAAAGAUGGACAAUAUUCAGGGUUCCAGCCCAUAUACGUGAAGUUGAUGAAAAGGCUUACGAUCCUAAGAUUGUUUCUAUUGGUCCUCUUCAUUGUAACAAGCCCUGUUUGAAAGCAAUGGAAGCUCAAAAGCUUCGAUUUGUGAAUCGGAUUUUAGAACAUGUCGCACUCAGCAAAGCUGAUCUUGAAAGGCCUAUGCAUGAGUUGGAGGGCCAAACUAGAGAGUGUUACUCAGAGAACUUUGAGGAUAUGAGCAGCAAUGAGUUUAUCCAAAUGAUGGUGCUUGAUGCUUGCUUCAUAGUUGAGCUGCUCCGAUUAUAUGAAAAGAGUUGUGAGGGAAAAGAUGUUGAGGAACCAAUAUUCGGAACUAGGUCGAUGAUACCAAUAAUCGUUCGUGAUUUGCUAAUGCUGGAGAAUCAACUUCCCAUGUUCGUAUUGCAGAGAAUGUACGACUUAUUGAUAACUAAUUAUUGCUCAACUAGUUGCAGUUCAACUACUCUCAACAAGCUGGCACUUCGGUUUUUUGAACCUUUCAGACUUGGUAGGGACGAAAUCUCCAGCGAAAGGUUGAACACCACAGAAACAUAUAGUCAUCUACUUGAUUUAUUUCAAUCUCGCUUCGUUCCAAGUCCUGACCAUCCUUCAAUGAAACAAAAGGAGACGUGGAGUAUCGACGAUGAAAGACUUCCCGGGAAGGGUUGGAUCAAUAACGCCACAAAGUUAACUUUCGCGGGCAUUGAACUUAGAGGAAAAUCGUCAAGUCCCCUUCUUGAUCUUAAUUUUCAUGGCCAUGUCUUGGAGAUCCCAACUCUUUUUCUUGAUGAUGGAUCUGGUCCCUUGUUGAGGAACUUGUUAGCUUUUGAACAAAGCAAUAGAUAUGCUAAGCCUUAUUUUACUUGUCUUGCAAUUUUCUUUGACAGCAUUGUAGACACCACCAACGACAUCAACAUUCUUCGCAAUGCUGGGGUUAUCAAACAGGCAAAAGGAGGCAACGACGAAAUAUUACAACUUUUGAACAGUCUCACCAGGGAGCUUGAGUUCGACAUGGAAGAUUGUUACAUAACAGAGCAAGUUGAACGUAUCAACCUUUUUUGUCGGACAACGAGAGCAAGAAUUAGGACCAUAUUUCGGACUUUCAUAAAGCGUUUUGACAUUUUGAAUGGGGCCCUGACUUAUAUUUCCUUGAUCCAGACGAUAGUAUUCAUCCUUGCCUCUGUAUCUGGUCCUGAUACGGAAAUGAAGUCUGCUCAGGCUCCUGCACCUUCUGCAUAGAAUAUAUUCGAUUACCUUUUGACGCAUGCUUGCUUGUCGGUAAAAUAAUGGGUGUUUUGCAUUGCUUAGAUACUAGCAUUAAGGUUUGCUGCAUUGCUUAGAUACUAGCAUUAAGGGUUGCUGUGCGUAUUACGGUAUACUUACUGGGAUUAUGGACUGUUAUUGAUGCAUGAUUAAAGCAUUCUGGAAACUGCGAUCAAAUAUAAUUUGUAAUAGAACUUGGUGGGAUCCGCUGCCAUGCUUGGAGGGCGCCAUUUGAAUGUCAUUUAUUCUUAAGUUUAAUCGUUUAAAUUGUUAUUUAAGUUCUACUGGUAAUGAUUUAUUAAAGGUGACAAAUAGCGAUUUUUAUAAUUAUAUGUGGUUUAAAAAUAAUUACAUGUAAUUCUUAAAUAGUAGCAUGUAAGAUUAAUAGUAUAGCUAUCAACUAGAAACGAGACAAAUAUCAAAAAAGCAUUGGCAUCCAAGUUGUACAAAUAGACCCAAGUGGUCUUAAUCAAAUACAAGCUGAGAAACUCAAUUACAAAGUAAUAGCUAUAUUUUACAUUCUUUCUCUUCUCUUGCAUAUGUGCUCUCGGUCUUCAUCUCUCAAUUUUAGGAAAGUUGUCUUCCCCCCUUUUUCUUUUUUUUUUUUUAUAAGAAAAAUAGUCUCUAAAAUCUUAUAGCAAUAAAUACUCAAGCCUCCUAAUUUCCGAGCACCUUUCGCACCCACCAGAAACUUCGGGUUAGCUUAGUCACGUUUAAGAAUCACAUGAAAAGCAUCAUUUUUUUUUUAAAUUUAUUUUUUGCAAUUUGAGAACACCUAUAUUGCGAGCUCUGCAUGUAUGAUCUAGCCUUCAAUCUAGACUUGGUGACACUCAGAAUUUCUCCUUUAGUUGAGAGGCCAAAUACUUUACCAUCCCAUUUGUUAAAACUUGGGUAUGCAAAACAAUAUUUGGCUUAACAAAUUAGCACCAAUCUAAUGGAUGAGUUGAUCUUAAGCUAACCCGCACAAAUUCAACAUAAGUCUAUAUUGUCGCAGUAACAGCUCUGCACAGUACUAAUUUAGUAUUGUCAGACAUUUUGGCUACAAAAACUCGGCACACUAUUUUUUGUGUGAAGUCCCAGUUAGUGCUGUUCAGCCCGCUCACCCAAACUGUUGAAGGAGAGGGUGGGUCUAGUAAAUUAAGUACUCGAUCUCCUUUCUCCUAGUGACGGAAACAUCAACGGCUAGAGCCAAUCCAGCCCCUUUUUUUCUUUUUUAAUUUAAAUAUUGGUAGAUUUAAUAUUCUAUUAAAAAACGAGAAAGAAAAAAGAAAAAAAUAAAAAUAAAAACAGAAGAAGAGCAAAAAGAAUGGUGUAAGGAGAAAAUGAAGACCCACACCGGUUUGGAUCAGUUUUCAAAAUUAAAAAAACCAAUAUUGUUAGAAAAUAUUAUAAAUAAUAAUAUUCAAAUAAAAUAAUAAUAAGCAACUAUAAGAGCAAAAUAAAUAUUACAAAUUUUAAACUAAAUUACAAUAAGCUUAAAUUACUAUACACAAAGCUAAAUGAAAGAAUAAAAUAAACUUUCUCUCUUGCUCUCUCUCUCUCUCUCUCUCUCUCUCUCUCUCUCUCUCUGUGUCCUGUCUCAUUCAACAUUUUUUUUCACCACAAGAGGGGCUAUAUAUAUAUUUUUUUUGCUAGUAAGGUUAGAACCAGCUCCUAUGCUGGGAUGUUUGUGUUUCUAACCGUCAGCUACCACAUGACCUCACAAAGAGGGCUGUAUUGGUGGCUAUAUAUAUAUAUAUAUAUAUAGGCAGUGAAGCAAAAAUCAGCGAUACAGUGGAAAUAUCGACGACAAUGUCGUGUAUCGGACACCGGUGAUACCGAUAGGGGGUUGGAAGAAGUUUCUGUCAGGGAUGCCGGAGAAAUAUCGCCGGAGUCGACAAAUGUAGGCUGAGUCGUCGAAAAUCGAUGGGAGUGUCGGAUUUUUGAUGGACAAUGGUGGAAACACAGAGGAAAAGCCGGUUGUCGGUGGAGAUCUUGGAUGGAAAUAUCGGCUGGCCUCUGUCUCAAGAAGCAGAAGAAGAAGAAGACCUGCGAUCUGCUUCUUCCUACGAUCUGCCAGAGCCCAAAAAGAAGAAAAAGAGAGCAGGGAAGAGAAAGGGAAAGAGAGAAGAGGAAGACCAGGCCUCAGAGAUCGGCCGGCCGAGUAGUAGAAAGGGAAAGACUGAAAGAGAUCGAAAGAAGAGGAAGAAUCUGGAAGCAUUAUCCGCCACGUGGUGGGUUCAUGUCCACUUAUACAGAAAAUCAAUAAUAAUAUAUAUAUAUAUAACUCUAUUUUUCUCUA